CAGGACGAACGCUGGCGGCGUGCCUAAUACAUGCAAGUCGAACGGUCUUUCUAUGGAAGCUUGCUCCACUGAGAAGAUAGUGGCGAACGGGUGAGUAACACGUGGGUAACCUGCCCAUAAGAGGGGGAUAACAUCCGGAAACGGGUGCUAAUACCGCAUAGUUUUCUUGAUCACAUGAUUGAGAAAGGAAAGACGGCCUUUGUGCUGUCGCUUAUGGAUGGACCCGCGGCGUAUUAGUUAGUUGGUGAGGUAACGGCUCACCAAGACGAUGAUACGUAGCCGACCUGAGAGGGUGAUCGGCCACAUUGGGACUGAGACACGGCCCAAACUCCUACGGGAGGCAGCAGUAGGGAAUCUUCCGCAAUGGACGAAAGUCUGACGGAGCAACGCCGCGUGAGUGAAGAAAGGUUUUCGGAUCGUAAAACUCUGUUGUCAGAGAAGAACAAGUUGGAGAGUAACUGCUCCAGCCUUGACGGUAUCUGACCAGAAAGCCACGGCUAACUACGUGCCAGCAGCCGC
rnacentral:rRNA from 1 species